AUACGGAGGUGGCGAGCGUUGCCGGGAAUCACUGGGCGUAAAGGGGGCGUAGGCGGCCAGGCAAGUCGGAGGUUAAAGCCCGGGGCUCAACCCCGGAAAGGCCUCCGAUACUGCUUGGCUUGAGGGCCGGAGAGGCCGGCGGAAUUCCCGGUGUAGGGGUGAAAUCCGUAGAUAUCGGGAGGAACACCAGUGGGGAAGCCGGCCGGCUGGACGGUCCCUGACGCUGAGGCCCGAAAGCGUGGGGAGCAAACCGGAUUAGAAACCCUAGUAGUCC
rnacentral:rRNA from 1 species